GUCUUUUUGAAAUAAAUUUAAAGUCUGACCUGCCCACUGAUAAUAUUAAAGGGCCGCGGUACUUUGACCGUGCAAAGGUAGCAUAAUCAUUAGUUUUUUAAUUGAAAGCUUGUAUGAAUGGUUGGACGAAAUAUUUACUGUCUCAUAAAAAUUUAUAUUAGAAAUUAAUUUUUUUGUUAAAAAGCAAAAAUAAUAUUAGAGGACGAGAAGACCCUAUAGAGCUUUAUAAUUUUAUUAUUUAAUUUUUUAAGAAAAUUUUGAAUUUUAUAAAAAUAAUUAUUUUGUUGGGGUGACAGUAAAAUUUAUAAAACUUUUAUUAUAAUAUUACAUUAAUUAAUGAAUAUUUGAUCCAUUAUUAAUGAUUAAAAAAUUAAGUUACCUUAGGGAUAACAGCGUAAUUUUUUUUAAGAGUUCAUAUCGACAAAAAAGAUUGCGACCUCGAUGUUGGAUUAAGAAUUAUUUUUAGGUGUAGAAGUUUAAAGUUUAGGUCUGUUCGACCUUUGAAUUCUU
rnacentral:rRNA from 1 species